CACGUAGGGGCCAAGCGUUGUCCGGAUUCAUUGGGCGUAAAGGGUGCGUAGGCGGCGCGGUAAGUCGGGUGUGAAAUCUCGGAGCUUAACUCCGAAACUGCAUUCGAUACUGCCGUGCUUGAGGACUGGAGAGGAGACUGGAAUUCCUGGUGUAGCGGUGAAAUGCGCAGAUAUCAGGAGGAACACCGGUGGCGAAGGCGGGUCUCUGGGCCGAAAACUGACGCUGGAGGAGCGAAAGCGUGGGGAGCAAACAGG
rnacentral:rRNA from 1 species